GCCGCCUCGGCCCGCGGGGCGGGCGGGUUGGCGGUGUGCGCGCUGCCGUUGUGCGGGAUGAGUAGGAGGGAUGUGAGGGAAUGUGGGGGACGUAGAAGGCCAUCUCCAGUGUCCCAGGAAGGGAUUGGAUAUCAGGAUUGCGAGCAGUGGGUUUCUGUGCACAGACGAUGUUUUCCAAGGAGAGCAGAUCUACACAUACCUCCCAAGGAAAACUGAUUUGGCAUGGGCCAUGCAGGGAGGGCCCUGCGCCCGGGCGCGCAGCCCUGCAGCCACCCGAGCAUCCUCGCUGCGAGUGUCGGCGUGCCCCGAGCUGCGAGUGCCUCCUCGCUGCCCUCUCCUGGCCCCUGUCGACGCUGCAGAGGUCGGAGCCUCCUCGCUGCCCUACGCCCCUUCUGUUUCGUGCAGUUCUUCGAGGUUCCAGUGACAAACAUUUAUAAACAGUGAUGGGAUCUUCUCUGUGCAGUGAAGAAUGCCAACACACAAAUGUGGUUCUCCUUUGGUCCCAGCCUUCUUCCUUGGCACAAUACCAAUCAACACUUUGCUGAUUACUGAUAAUUUUGCUCGUUGUGCCCAGAGCUGCAUGUGUCAGUUUGUGUUAGUGACAAAACUGGUCUGUUUUGUCCAAAACAAAACAAAUUUAAAACACUAACACAUUCCUCUUAAAAGCAUUCACUGGUGUGAAAUUUUAGUCCUGCUUUUUGCAAAAGUUACAAAGUUUCUGACUCAAUCGUCACUGCGGAGCCCUGGGUUCCCACUUUCCCCUUGUACUGUCUGUGAAUGGUACCCACAAGAAGCUGCUGCUUCAGUUCAUUAUGAGGGGAUCUGUGCUGCCUCGGGGAAUUUUAAGACUCCAACUACCGAGGAAAGUUGAAAACUGCUGUUCUACUUGGUCUGAAAAAUGAUUUAGAUCUCCAUAGGCACCUGGUGCUUUUUCAUUUUAUUCUUGCAAGAGCUUAAUUACACAAGUGAUUCUACUAACUGUUAACACUGAAGCUGACAAAAGUAAAAUAUUGCAUUGCAAUCA